rnacentral:rRNA from 1 species
AACGAACGCUGGCGGCAUGCCUAAUACAUGCAAGUCGAACGAGUGCCUUCGGGUGCGAGUGGUGCACGGGUGCGUAACGCGUGGGAAUCUGUCCUGGGGUACGGAAUAACUCAGCGACAUUUGAGCUAAUACCGUAUGAUAUCGCGAGAUCAAAGAUUUAUCGCCCUGGGAUGAGCCCGCGUUGGAUUAGCUAGUUGGUGGGGUAAAGGCCUACCAAGGCGACGAUCCAUAGCUGGUCUGAGAGGGUGACCAGCCACACUGGGACUGAGAAACGGCCCAGACUCUUACGGGAGGCAGCAUUAGGGAAUAGUGGACAAUGGGCGAAAGCCUGAUCUAGCAAUGCCGCGUGAGUGAUGAAGCCCUUAGGGUUGUAAAGCUCUUUUACCCGGGAUGAUAAUGACAGUACCGGGAGAAUAAGCCCCGGCUAACUCCGUGCCAGCCGCCGCAGUAA